rnacentral:rRNA from 1 species
AGAAUCAACGCUGGCGGCGUGCCUAACACAUGCAAGUCGAACGAGAAAGUGGAGCAAUCCAUUAGUAAAGUGGCGCACGGGUGAGUAACACGUGACUAACCUACCCUUGAGUGGGGGGAUAACCUAGAGAAAUCUGGGCUAAUACCGCAUAAUACCUUCGGGUCAAAGGAGCAAUUCGCUUAAGGAGGGGGUCGCGGCCGAUUAGUUAGUUGGCGGGGUAAUGGCCCACCAAGACUAUGAUCGGUAUCCGGCCUGAGAGGGCGCACGGACACACUGGAACUGAAACACGGUCCAGACUCCUACGGGAGGCAGCAGUGGGGAAUUUUGCGCAAUGGGGGAAACCCUGACGCAGCAACGCCGCGUGGAGGAUGAAGCCCCUUGGGGCGUAAACUCCUUUCGAUCGGGACGAUAAUGACGGUACCGAGAGAAGAAGCCCCGGCUAACUUCGUGCCAGCAGCCGC